rnacentral:rRNA from 1 species
GACGAACGCUGGCGGCGUGCCUAAUACAUGCAAGUUGAGCGCUGAAGGUUGGUACUUGUACCAACUGGAUGAGCAGCGAACGGGUGAGUAACGCGUGGGGAAUCUGCCUUUGAGCGGGGGACAACAUUUGGAAACGAAUGCUAAUACCGCAUAAAAACUUUAAACACAAGUCUUAAGUUUGAAAGAUGCAAUUGCAUCACUCAAAGAUGAUCCCGCGUUGUAUUAGCUAGUUGGUGAGGUAAAGGCUCACCAAGGCGAUGAUACAUAGCCGACCUGAGAGGGGGAUCGGCACAAUUGGAACGGAGACACGGCCCAACCCCAUACGGGGGGCGCCGUGAGGAAUUGUUGGGCAAGGGCCGAAAGUCUAACCAAGCAACGCCGGGGGAGGAAAGAAGGUUUUCGGAUAGUAAAACUCUGUUGGGAGAAAAAAACGUUGGUGAGAGUGGAAAGCUCAUCAAGUGACGGUAACUACCCAAAAAGGGACGGCUAACUGCG